rnacentral:rRNA from 1 species
UACGAAGGGGGCGAGCGUUGUUCGGAUUUACUGGGCGUAAAGGGCGCGCAGGCGGUUCUGUUUGUCGCGUGCGAAAGCCCCCGGCUCAACCGGGGAGAGUCGUCGGGGACCGCACCGCUUGAGGGCGGUAGGGGCUGGUGGAAUGCCUGGUGUAGUGGUGAAAUGCGUAGAGAUCAGGCAGAACACCUGGGGCGAAGGCGGCCAGCUGGGCCGUCCCUGACGCUGAGGCGCGAAGGCGUGGGGAGCGAACGGG